rnacentral:rRNA from 1 species
GAACGGGUGAGUAACGUGGGCAAUCUGCCCUGCACUCUGGGACAACCCUGGAAACGGGUAAUACCGGAUACUACCCGCCUGGGCCACGGUUCGAAAGUCCGGCGGUGCAGGAUGAGCCCGCGGCCUAUCAGCUUGUUGGUGAGGUAAUGGCUCACCAGGCGACGACGGGUAGCCGGCCUGAGAGGGCGACCGGCCACACUGGGACUGAGACACGGCCCAGACUCCUACGGGAGGCAGCAGUGGGGAAUAUUGCACAAUGGGCGAAAGCCUGAUGCAGCGACGCCGCGUGAGGGAUGACGGCCUUCGGGUUGUAAACCUCUUUCAGCAGGGAAGAAGGACGGUACCUGCAGAAGAAGCGCCGGCU